rnacentral:rRNA from 1 species
CCCUUAGAUGUCCGGGGCUGCACGCGCGCUACACUGUAGAAAGCAGCGUGCUUUAAAACCUUUCCUGAAAAGGAUGGGUAACCCCAGCAAAAUUCUACGUGCUUGGGAUAGAGAUUUGCAAUUUUCUCUCUUGAACGAGGAAUUCCCAGUAAGUGCGAGUCAUCAGCUCGCGUUGAUUACGUCCCUGCCCUUUGUACACACCGCCCGUCGCACCUACCGAUUGAAUGGUCCGGUGAAGCCUCGGGAUUGUGGCCAGUUCACUUUAUUGGGAGUUGGCUGCGAGAACUUGUCUAAACCUUAUCAUUUAGAGGAAGGUGAAGUCGUAACA